GUACAGCGGCGGACGGGACUCCGGCAGAAGUCCGAACGAGCGAUGUUUCGCAUUUAUAACGAAAGACAUCGGUGGAAAGCGCGGGGGCGGUGGGAUGGGGGAGGAAGGAAGGGACAGAUAGACGACAGAUCGGAAGAGACACG